rnacentral:rRNA from 1 species
AGUGAACGCUGGCGGUAGGCCUAACACAUGCAAGUCGAACGGCAGCACAGUAAGAGCUUGCUCUUACGGGUGGCGAGUGGCGGACGGGUGAGGAAUACAUCGGAAUCUACUUUUUCGUGGGGGAUAACGUAGGGAAACUUACGCUAAUACCGCAUACGACCUACGGGUGAAAGCAGGGGAUCUUCGGACCUUGCGCGAUUGAAUGAGCCGAUGUCGGAUUAGCUAGUUGGCGGGGUAAAGGCCCACCAAGGCGACGAUCCGUAGCUGGUCUGAGAGGAUGAGCAGCGACACUGUGACUGAGACACGGUCCAGACUGCUACGGGAGGCAGCAGUGGGGAAUAUUGUACAAUGGGCGCAAGCCUGAUCCAGCCAUACCGCGUGGGUGAAGAAGGCCUUCGGGUUGUAAAGCCCUUUUGUUGGGAAAGAAAAGCAGCAGGUUAAUACCCCGCUGUUAUGACGGUACCCAAAGAAUAAGCACCGGCUAACUUCGUG